rnacentral:misc_RNA from 1 species
AACGCACCUUGCGCUCCUUGGUAUUCCGAGGAGCAUGCCUGUUUGAGUGUCAUAUAAAUUCUCAACUUUAUUUUCUUUUGCAAGAUAAUAAGGCUUGGAUUUUUGGAAGUUGCUGAUUUUUCUUUUUGAAAUCAGCUCUUCUUAAAUGCAUUAGCAGAAACCUAUUCUGAUUGCCUUUUGGUAUGAUAAUUAUCUAUACCAUGGAUACAAUUGGAGUUUAAAGGCUUUGCUUCUAAUCGUCUAUUACAAGACAAUCAUUUUUGACCAUUUUGACCUCAAAUCAGGUAGGACUACCCGCUGAACUUAA